AUAAUUCAGAAUUGAAAAUACGUAAGCUGCAUAGAAAUAUGUGACGUUCAGCAGCGGUAAUGAAUGUAGUAAUUGAAAGUAAUCAAACCAGCCAACAAACAUUUGAAGCUAAUAAAAGGUAUAAAAAUGAAAUAACCAAAACUGAAACGAUAUAUAGUUCCCUCACAGAAUUUACCUAAGAAACAAUGUCAUUCUAUUGAUGAUGCACAAGAAAACCCUUCAAAGCUACCUUAACAGUGUUUAAGCAAAAGACAAAGGACAAACAAAAUUAAGCGGUAGUGAGUGAUGUGGCACUGUGUGAAAGUGACCAACUUGAAGUUCAACUUAGUUCAGAAGGCGAUGGAACAUUCUUUAUUAAAUCAAUAAGACCCCAUUUCCUAAAGAAAGAAACACAGUUUUCUGUGAGCCGAUCAAAAGAAAAUGUUCUUAUUUCUGUGGCUACGGUACAUAUUAUCAUCAUAUCAUAUUGGUUUACGAGUUCUUGGUCUAACAGGGAGUUGUUACCAUGUUGUUACAACUCAGUUGUAAUACUGGUACAACUGAGCCAGGGAAUUGGGUAGAACGGGUAGAAGAACAAUGUUUAAAGACAUGUUAAUAUGAAACACAAGAGAAUGGUGUCUUUCUGCAUCCUUCCAUAGACUAGGAGACCUGGAUCACUCUCUAACUUUGAUGUAGGACCAUCCAGGACCUGCAUAGCAUGUGCACAUACUCAAGGAAGUUGCUACCCUUCGUGUCUACAAGCUGGCUGAGUCUUAAUCUUCGACCAAGUGUUAAAUCAGCUGCAAGAAGGUAAUGUUUCAUCAUCAUAAGGCAAAUGAAGGAAAAAAAGAGGAGGUCUAUAUAAAAGUUCAGCUCUAUCUUCAACUACUGCUGUGCAAGAAAUUCAAAUAUUUUAAAUAUGUUUUUCUGCAUCCUUCCAUAGACUAGGAGCCCUGGAUAAAGCAAUAAUUGUUAUUUUGUUAUUAAUUAUAUAUAAAUUAUAUGUGAUUAAGGAAUGAAAAACUUCCGUUUUUUUCCUCAUUUCUCCUUUUCGUUGACAAGAAUUUUGAAAAGUUAUGGUGGUAAGAGUUUUUUUUGAAUGGUAUCUGCCAAUACAGGGCACUCCAAGUACUACUUGACUGAGACACUGGCUGUGUUUUAAUAAUUUUUGCCUUUAAAAGAUGAAUGAAGAAUUUAUGGUUUUUCUUCAGUUCUCCUUACUUACGAGAGUAUUGAAAAUACGUGGUCAAUAGAGUUUUUGUGGCAAUAUGCACUUGGAUUUCAAGGAGUUAUUUGAAUGGUUUUUGUAUACAGGGCACUGCAAGUACUAGCUUCACUGAGACAUUGGCAGUGUUCAAACAAUGUUCACCUUUAAAAGAUGAAUGAAAAACUACUGUUUUUUUCCUUAUUUACAAGAGUAUUGAAAAGCUGUGGCGGCAAGAGUUUUUAUGGCAAUAUGCACUUCGAUUUCAAGGAGUUAUUUGAAUGGUUUUUGUAAACAGGGCACUGCAAGUACUACCUUCACCAAAGAUUUUAAAGAAUUCAUUGAGACAUUAGUUGUGUUCAAACAAUUUUCACCUUUAAAAGAUUUCUUGAUUUACUGGUUGCCUAUACUUCACAAAAAUUAAUUUAAAACCAAGACGAGAGUUGUGGCAAUUUUCACUUGGAUUUCAAAGAGUUAUUUUAUUGGUAUAUGCCAAAGAUAUUUAAUAAAUAACUUUGGUAUCUGCCAACAGGGCACGGCAAGUACUACUUCGCUGAGACAUUGGCUGUGUUCAAACAAUUUCCACCUUUAAAAGAUGAUGGAAAAACUUCACUUUUUUACUCAUUUUUUCUUAUUUACAAGAGUAUUGAAAAGCUGUGGCGGCAAGAGUUUUUAUGGCAAUAUGCACUUGGAUUUCAACGAGUUAUUUGAGUGGUUCUGCAAGUACUGCCUUCACCAAAGAUUUCAAAGACUUCAUUGCGCUGUUAGCUGUGUUCAAACAAUUUUCACCUUUAAAAGAUGAAGGAAAAACGUGAGUUUUUUCCUCAUUUUUUUCUAUUUACAAGAGUAUUGAAAAGCUGUGGCGGCAAGAGUUUUUAUGGCAAUAUGCACUUGGAUUUCAAGGAGUUAUUCGAAUGGUUUUUGUAAACAGGGCACUGCCAGUACUACUUUCACCGAAGAUUUCAAAUACUUCAUUGAGACAUUGGCUGUGUUCAAACAAUUUUCACCUUCAAGGAAAAACGUGAGUUUUUUCUUAUUUCUCCAUUUUUACAAGAGUAUUGGAAAACUGUGGCGGCAAGAAUUUCUGUGGCAUCUGCUCUUGGAUUUCAAGGUGUUACUUGAAUGGUAUCAGUCAUUAGGGGCACUGCAAGUACCACGGUACUAAGACAUUGGCUGUGUUCAAACUUCACUUUUAAAAGAUGAACGAAAAACUUAAGUUUUUCUUAGUUACAAGAGUAUUGAAAAGCUGUAGGGCGAGAGUUUUUGAGGCAUCUGCUCUUGGUUUUCAAGCAGUUAUUUAAAUGGUAUCUGCCAACAGGGCACUAAAUUUCGCUUUUAAAACAUGUUUUCCGUCAGUUCUCAGCAUUAAAAAGAAUAUUCUGUGGCAAUCUGCAGUUGAUUUUCAACCAAAACUUAGAGGAAUGGAAUGUAUCAAGAUAUCAAUAAAGGUUGAUAAUGAUUCUGUAAAAACUGCAGCUGUUAAUGAUACUCCUACUUCUUUGAGCCUCCUGUAUAUUUCUCGUUGAAGAUAUGGAACAGAACGCAGACUUAGGAUAGGAACACUUUAUUUUUACCAAUGUCGUAAAGACUUGUGGAAAAUCAGAAAAUUUAAAGAAUUUUCUGGUUUUUUAUUCAAUUUUUUUGCUGUAAAAGUAAAAUUGUGAUAAAACGGUUAAAUUCUGUAAUUUAUAUGUAAAUCCUUAGUAGAAAUGCAUUUAUUUUUAUUUUAACUAUGUCUCUUCUGGAAUAUAGUUUAGUUGAUUUUAGUUGUAAAAAAUUACAGAAUUCAAAAUUAUCAGAAUUUUAUUUGCAAUGUUAAUGCUUUAUAAGAGAGUACAGGGUUUUUUUACACGACCUGUUCGGAAAGAGGGAAAUAUAUUAAAAAAAAGUAUAUUUCAAAUUGGAUGUCAAAAUAAUUUUUAAUGGGCUGGUUGUGUGGACACUCUGUAUAUCAUAUACCGUCAUAUUAGCGUUUUUCUCUCUAAAUAAUGAUUUUGAAUUAAUAUUUUAUACAUCGGCAAUAUAAAAGCAAAAUUUUAUUAAAUGGCGAAUGCGCUAGGAAAAUAAAAUAUUGAAAUUAACAGACUUAAAAAAAAUGUGAAAAUAAAAUUGAGAUAAGAUAAAUUCUGUAAUUUAAAUAUUAAUUUCAGUAUAAACGCAUUUAUUUUCAUAUAUUUUUAGUAUCAGUAUUUUAAUUUAAUUCAAUUGGAAUAAUAUUGACUG